ACUACCCUAACUUACGCCGCCCAGCUCCAUCAACGCCACCUUGAAACAUCCACCCAAAGUCGUCGCUCUAAUGUGGCUUGAAUCAGAAUAAUAAUAAUAACAAUGGAAAAAUUAGUCCUGCUUUAGCUCCAAAUUGUUGUGUUUUGAACAACAAACGCAACCCACAAAACCCCAAUCCACCCAAACGUCCACCCAAAGUCUCCGUCCAUAUGAAGCACACGUUAAUGCCCAAAAUUGAAAAUUACUCUUUUCUCUGAAACAUAACCCUAGAUCCGAACACAACACAAGAUCCUCUACUCGAUCCAAAAAAUUUGACGCCACAAUCAUCAACCAUAAACCCAGAAUUAUCAUUGUCGCCUUCAUCAUUAUGGGAAUCAACAGAAAAUCAUAAACCUAACCAUAGAUCUAGCUCCAAAUUGUUUAACCCAUUUCGAUAUUAACUUCAUUACACCGAAAUCAGGUCCAAAAUCGGAUAAUAUGACGAUUGUUUUAACACGUUGAUGAAAUAAAUCCAUGACGACGUUGACCUGAUUUUUGAGAGAAUAGUUGUCCGUCGGAUUGUCCAACCGUGGUGGCUUCAUUGAUGCAACGAAGUUUAAGAGUGUAUGAGUGAUAGAGAAAUUUAGAUUUGAAGGUGAUUUGGGGGGUUUUGUUUUUAAUGAAGUGUUUUUGGGAUGUACUUUCUUUUUCUAGUGUUAGUCUUGGGGAUUUAUGGUGGCAGUGGAUGACAGUAUAGAUUAGAGAGGGAGAGGAAAGAUGUUUUUAGAUUGAAAAUGGUGGCAUGCGGAUUGAGUUGAUCAGAUUUUUUGCUUCUAAUUUUUUUUCCGAUUACUUAAUAAUAACUUUUUUUACUAUUUUGUUUGCAAAUUUUGGUGCAUGGUAACAAUAGUGAUAAGUAAUUUUUUUAAAAUUAUUAUUACUCAAUUCUUUAUAUAUAUAUAUAUAAAUCAUCUCUUAAAUUAGUUAUUUUUAUUUUAGAAAUAUUUUUAUUUUUUGUUAUUAAAUUUUAAUGUUAUAUUAUAUUUAUUUUAUUGCUUUUUGACACAUCAGAACUAAAAUGUCACAUGUCAGUGCCGCAUCAUCAAUUUGUGACAUGAUAGUUUCAAUUGAAUCGAAGUGAAAAAAAUUGAUAGUUUAAUCAUCUAAUUGACAAAAUUAAAAUGUAGAUCACCGAAAUAAAAUAUGACUUAUAGUUUAGGGUACUAAUUCAUAUUUAAGCCUAAACUUUAUGGUAAUAAAAGUUUAAUUAAUCUUAGUCGUAAAAAAAUAUACUUAUUUUAUAAUGUCACAAUAAUAUUACUACACAAACUUAAAUUAAAUAAGAAUUUAUAUUUAUUCGUAUUUUUACAUAAUUUUUAAAGUUAAAUUUUACUAAAAAUUUGAGAUAAACUCAUUUUAUAAAUUUAAAGUAUAUAAUUAAUAUACCUUAUAGAGUAUCUCCCGCAAACCAUAUAUAUAUAUAUAUAAGAUUAAGAGUUACAACAUUAAGAAUUUUGGUACUCUUCGUUCCCAAACGAAUGACUCAAUAACAAAUUUUACACAAAUUAAGAUAAUUAAAUAAGAGGAUAAAUUUACUUUUUAUUUUGUCUUGUAUUGAUGCGUGUAUUAAGUGUUUUAAUUGACUUGAAUUUGUGAAAUGAUAGUGAAUUAAUUUGAGUUAUUCAUUCAUUCAUUCGUGAUGUGAUUAAUUUAGUUUUUGGUUAAUAUGUAAUAUGGUCAAAGAUAAAUUAGUCAAUGUAAAAUUUUAUAAAAAUAAAAUAAUAUUAAAAAAGAGUGGUUCUAUUUAUUUUCUUUUUAUUUAUAAAAAUGCCACCUGAGAACCCAUUUAUUUUUUAAAAGAAUCUUCAAAAUGACGUAGUUUUAAUAAAAAUAUUUGAUAAUAUUUUAAUACUUACAUGAGGUGGUGCAAGAUUGAUAAUACUUCCAUGAUUAAAUUAAAAAUGGAGGUAUAGAUGAAGGUACUAUACUGUAACUAUUUUUUCACAUGUAUAGAACUAUUGAUUCACAUGAAUGUACUAUUAAUUCACAUGCAUGUACUAUUAGGGGAGGUGGUGCAAGUUUGAUAAUACUUGCAGGACUAGAUUAAAAAUGAAGAAAAAGAUGAAUGUAUUAUACUAUAAUAUUUCGAGUCCCAAAACGUGCAAUUAUCGAAACUAUGUUUUCCUAUAAAUAGAAGCGCAUUCUUCUUUCAUUCUCACUAAUUCACUAAGACUCACAAGAGCAAUUAUAGAUAGAGAAGCUAUAGAGAGAAAGAAAAAGAGUAUUCUGCUAUUUCACUAUUCUAGUAUUCAGUUUUCUUCUAAGGUAAGAGCUAUUUUUUUUUCAGUAUUCGUAAGAAAUAAUAUUUUCUUCCAUACUCUGUAGUAUGUGAGUAAUAUUAUUUCGUUUUGUAUUCCUAAUUCUACACUCAUUAAUAUAGAUUGUCACUCAUUUGAGGAUAGAAAAAAUUGUAAUUUUGGCUAUCUUUUAAGGGAAAGAGGGAGUAAGAUGACAAAAUUUUGUAUACGUGAAAAAGGGAAAUUAGUAGUCUCAUAAUAAUAAAAUGACUUGUGACUAUUUAAUAUCAUAUUCAAGUGAGCAAGUAUUAUAAUUUUUAUUAUUUGGGAUUAAAAAUUUGUGGACAAAAUUAAUCUUUUAACUUUAUUUAAAAAGACCGGUGUAUUUUGUUUUAUUUAUAUAUACUUGAACUAAUGAGAAUAUGAUAUCUUUGUUAUUAGUGGUAAAUUAUGAUAGUCUAAAAGGUAGGUUUUUAUCUAAUCCUGUAAAUAUUCUGGACAAAACAAAUAUAACAUGAGAUUAUUUUAAGUUAUCUCAAGAACGGGAAGGAUCAAGGGUGAUCCUACAUACCUUGCAUACCCCCUUUAGCGACGGACUGAGUGACGAUUUAGUCCGUCGCUAUAAGUUCGGUCCGUUGCUAUAUGUUGUCCAUCGUUAUAUGUUAUCCGUCACUAAAAGAUAAAAAGACGGUUUUCUGAUAUAGCGAUGGACCGAACUGUUGCCUGAUCCGUCGCUAAAAGGGGUGAGCAUGAUAUGUAAAAUAAAGGGAUGGAACCCUUGAAAUGGACUGAUCUCAAGAAUAAUCCCAUAAAAAACAAACAUGUGACUAAAAUUAUUUAAUUUUAAAAGUAGUAGUCUUGGGAUUAUAAUUCAUGGGAAUAUAGUUCUGACAUUAUAAUUUUUGCAAACAAACAUGACCAUAGGGUAUUUAACUAGUAUACCCCAUAGGGUUAAUACAUCUAUUUUUAGAGGGGAUUUUUAGAUAAAUCCAACCAUGCAGAUUUAAAGAACAUUUAAAAAUAUUUGAACAUAUGAAUUUUCAUAUAAUUUGGUGAUGUCUAUUAUAGACUUUAGGCUUAAAUAUAAAUUAGUACCCUAAACUAUAGGUCAUAUUUCACUUCGGUGAUCCACCUUUUAAUUUUGUCAAUUAGAUGAUUAAACUAUUAAUUUUUUUCAAUUGCAAUAAAUUGAACCGCCAAGUCAGAAAUUGCUGACGUGGUAAAAGACUCAAAUUGUAAUGAAUUUAAAUCAUUUUAUAUGAAAUUAAAAGGAAAAAAAUAUAAUACAAUAUUAUUGUUUAAUUAACUAUAAUAGUAUAAAUAUACUUUUAAAAUUAAAUUAUUAAUAUAACACCACCCUAACUUACGCCGCCCAGCUCCAUCAACGCCACCUUGAAACAUCCACCCAAAGUCGUCGCUCUAAUGUGGCUUGAAUCAGAAUAAUAAUAAUAACAAUGGAAAAAUUAGUCCUUCUUUAGCUCCAAAUUGUUGUGUUUUGAACAACAAACGCAACCCACAAAACCCUAAUCCACCCAAACGUCCACCCAAAGUCUCCGUCCAUAUGAAGCACACAUUAAUGCCCAAAAUUGAAAAUUGCUCUUUUCUCUGAAACAUAACCCUAGAUCCGAACACAACACCAGAUCCUCUACUCGAUUCAAAAAAUUUGAAACCACAAUCAUCAACCAUAAACCCAGAAUUAUCAUUGUUGCCUUCAUCAUUAUAGGAAUCAACAAAAAAUCAUAAACCUAACCAUAGAUCCAACUCCAAAUUGUUUAACCCAUUUCGAUAUUAACUUCAUUACACCGAAAUCAGGUCCAAAAUCGGAUAAUAUGACGAUUGCUUUAACACGUUGAUGAAAUAAAUCCAUGACGACGUUGACCUGAUUUUUGAGAGAAUAGUUGUCUGUCGGAUUGUCCAACCGUGGUGACUUCAUUGAAGCAACGAAGUGUUGUUAAGAGUGUAUGAGUGAUAGAGAAAUUUAGAUUUGAAGGUGAUUUGGGGGUUUUGUUUUUAAUGAAGUGUUUUUGGGAUGUACUUUCAUUUUUUCUAGUGUUAGUCCUGGGGAUUUAUGGUGGCAGUGGAUGACAGUAUAGAUUAGAGAGGGAGAGGAAAGAUGUUUUUA
rnacentral:lncRNA from 1 species